CAGCCGUACAACGCCACUAUAACCCAAUGCGCCUAGACCAAGCGACUCUUCCGGCUCUGGAGUCAACCAACUUGAUUCACAGCAACUCAGCACACCAUGGCUGCUAACAGAACAGACGUCCGAUUAUGCAACGCAAAAUGACAGCAUCGAACAAAACCAUUCUUCUCAGCUUCAGCAGCACACAGCUGGAAAAAGACCUGUCGGCAUGGCCUGAAUAAACGUGAAAAAUUUUUAUGUGUACAUCUCCGGACAGCCCUAUGUCGUAUUCACCAGAUGUGAACCCCAACGCAAUACAGAAAAUAUUUUUUGUGAAA